rnacentral:lncRNA from 1 species
CUUGGAGCCCCUUCUCCGGCCGCUGGCUUCUCGGACCGCGCCUCUCCAGCGCCGCCGCGCCCGCAGCGGGGCGCCCCGGACAGGGCCUGAGCUCCCGGCGCAGUGGAGAGGCGACUUGCGUCCUGGAAGGGCUCAGCAAAGGCGAACGGAGAGGUGCACCCUAGGCUGCGGGAGCGCGAGAGGAGGGGGGCACCUCGUUUGGAGGCCAAUAGCGCGGGCCCCAGAGGAGGCCCCACGGCCGGGAGCUUGGCGGCCGGCAACCCAGAGAACGCCACGGGCACCCGAGCCUUGUCCCGGCCCGGGGGGCUCCAGGCCUGCCCGCAAGAGGAGCUUUAAUUUGUCCAAACUAACACAGGGCGCGCCCUCACGUGGUCGGCUGGGGCAACGUGAACUGCGCUAGGACAUCCUCGGGGGUUUUCCGCCCCAUCCAAAGGGGAUGGCGGAUGGGAGGCACUCUCCAGCUGCACCCCGGGUUCUGGUUGUGCCUCUGGGAGCCUAGGCACAACCCGGGGAAUGGAGGACUACGGCAGGACCUCUCUAGGGACACUGCCUCGCCGCUCCCCCCACCCUGUUGCCGCUGAUGUUCCCAGGGCCUCAUUUUGUAAUCCACAAGUAGCUGCCGCCGGUCCCCCCAAAGCCAAAUGGGGGCUCCAGGGUGGGACAGGGUGGGCGGGGGUGAGGCUGUGACACCCAGAGGAAUUCCUGUGAGAGGAUGGGGAAGGGAUUCGCUCUUAGUUCCUGGGUGCACCCCUCCCCCUCUCCCGUGCACAGGGAAAUGAUGGCGGGAACACAGCAAAGGAGACCAUGUCCUGGAGAGGGUCCCGGGCCCCACCCUCCCCGGGGGGGCUUGUGCAAGGCUGGCGGCCCGAUCUCUGCUGAUUCCAGUAUUGGGGGUGCAGAGAAGGCACAGGACAGUUUUUGUUGAAGCCGUUGCAGCCUCCACUUGGGGAAGCUGAGGCCAGGGGCACAGGACAACGUUGAGGGCCUGAGGCCUCCACCUUCUUGAAGAAGGACCAUGUGAAUUUCCUGACAGAGAACGGGGAUGGGUUUCUGAAAGCACCACCCAGCUGAGCCUGCCGAAACUGCACAGCUGUUUCCAGGCCAGGCUGGCUGCAUGGAGGACGUGAGAGGAACAGCCAGCUGUGUGUGCUGGGCCCACUGAUCAGGGUGCUCAGGACCAGGAGCCUUCUGAGGAUGUGCAGAGGGGACUCUGGGGAGAGGAACAUGGUGGCCACAGCUGGAGUGACCGCAGUGUACAGAGAUGGGAUGGGAGCAGGAAACCCAAAAGAGCCGGCCCUGGAACCAGGUGGAGGGGAGGCAGCCCGGCCAUGACCCAGAGCAGGUGAUAUGAUUUGGAUCUGUGUUCCCACCCAAAUUUUAGGUUCAGUUUUAAUCCUCAGUGUUGGAGGUGGGUCCUGGUGGGAGGUGAUCAGAUCAUGGGAGUGGAUUCUAAUGGUUUAGCACCAUUCCCUC